UAGUAACCCAUGAGCUUUACGCGAAGAAAAAGAGCGUUGAAAAUGAAACAUAGAACUGUAACAUGAAAACGAAGAAUUAUUUUUUGUAAUUCAAGAAACAAUAUAUGAACAUAGAAGGGAGUCAGGAAUGACCAAUGCUGAUAAUGUUUAGAAGAGGCUAACUUUGCUCCGUUUGAGACGUUAAAGUGAAAUACGAGCUCACUGUUCCUACCCAUUGAUGCUGCCAAUUCGUAUAAUAUGCUAUAUGAACCUACAUCUAGUCAAUUGCUUUGUGAACAAAGCUUGGUAUAUUGGCG